rnacentral:rRNA from 1 species
GACGAACGCUGGCGGCGUGCCUAAUACAUGCAAGUAGGACGCAGUUGCGAACGGGUGAGUAACGCGUAGGUAACUACCUAUUAGAGGGGGAUAACUAUUGGAAACGAUAGCUAAUACCGCAUACUAGUAGAUGGACCUGCGUUGUAUUAGCUAGUAGGUAGGGUAAUGGCCUACCUAGGCAACGAUACAUAGCCGGCCUGGGCGGGUGAUCGGCCACACUGGGACUGGGGCACGGCCCAGACUCCUACGGGAGGCAGCAGUUGGGAAUCUUCGGCAAUGGGGGGAACACUGGCCGAGCAACGCCGCGGGAGUGAAGGAGGUUUUCGGGUCGUGAAGCUCUGUUGUUAAGGAAGCGGUACUUAACCAAAAAGGGACGGCUAACUACGUGCCAGCAGCCGCGGUAAUUC